CAGUGCUCUUAUAAUAUAUGUGACCCGUGUGGCUAGGGUUACAAACAGACAUGGGAUAGGUAUCAACUUCUGGUCAACAAGACACUUUAUGAGAAAACCAUAGCAAGUGGCUUUGGCUCAGUUCACUUUCUUCUGGAUGCUUCUGAACAGCAGCAAUACAAGGAAGCCAUAUUGGCUUAUGCAAUCUUGCUUAAAGCAGAGACCGGCCAGG